ACGUAGGGGGCGAGCGUUGUUCGGAUUUACUGGGCGUAAAGAGCGCGUAGGCGGUUCGAUAAGUCGGAGGUGAAAUCCCUCGGCUUAACCGAGGACCCGCGUCCGAUACUGUCGAACUUGAGUGCAGGAGAGGAGAUCGGAAUUCCCAGUGAAGCGGUGAAAUGCGUAGAUAUUGGGAGGAACACCGGUGGCCAAGGCUGCUCUCUGGAAUGCCUCUGCCGCUGAGGCGUGAAAGCGAGGGGAGCACACGG
rnacentral:rRNA from 1 species